rnacentral:lncRNA from 1 species
UCCAGACCAAAAUACACAAUUUUGCUCUACAAGGGCCUGAUAUCCACUUACGAGGACAUUAUACUGCCACUGUUCUAUCGAAAUUUGAAACGAAUGUCCUCAUAUGUGGAUCUCAUUUGUCUCCGAAACAAAAAUCAGGUAAAAAAAACCAUCUGGUAAUUCUUUGUUUUUACAUUCAUCAGGUCCCAAUCAGCCCAAAUAGCGAAGAGAACUUAAAAAUGCAUGCCAUGAAAGAGUUCAGGUCUUAGGGGGUUUUAAAGCAGAGUAGAGUCAAUUCUUUAACUAACCUUUUUAAAAACUUGUGUUAUUUUUAAUAAGUGCUACAGCUGCUAGACUACUGGAACUACUGGACACAUGUGGCCGUUUUCAUUUAGGACAGUUAUUAUAGUUGUUUUUUACUCUACAUUAACUUUAUUGUUGAUCUAACUGCAUCGUAUGGAUCAUUUUAGAAGACUGAAGUCCUAGACUCCACCUUUGUCUAGGGGACUGUUAUUCUAUGUGCGUGCAGGCAACGAGUCAAGGUCCCCCAUCAAAGAGGAAAUGACUUCAGGAGACCCGAGGGCCUCUGCAGAGCCAGGAGGGAGGCUGAGAGAAGUGAGCUGCCACAGACGAGAGCUGAUUACAUCUCUGCGCUGCGACAUUGUUGAUGUUUGGCUGAGUGAAAUUACAGGUGUUUCCAGCAACAAAGUACAUGCUUUCACACAUACACACACAUCUCCCACUCACUGCUCACUAAACCACAAACCCCCCCAGCUGAGACAAACCAUUAUAUAGGCGCUUGCUAUAGAUCUGUGAGAUGUACACGGUCUGUGGUGGAGCUGCUAACACACACAGACACACACACACACACGCACACACACACACACACACACACACACACACACACACACGCACACACACACACGCAUAUUUGAAUUAACACACAGGUUUGUUCGUUCUCUUUUCUGUUGUCUUUCUUACCCACAACCACUUUUUCGUAUUUUCUCUCUCACACACACACACUUAUAAAUUCACACACACUUCGCUUUGCAACAUUUUCUCUCGUCCAGACUCUACAC